rnacentral:rRNA from 1 species
UCCGUAGGUGAACCUGCGGAAGGAUCAUUACAGAAUGAAAAGUGCUUAACUGCAUUUUUUCUUACACAUGUGUUUUUCUCUUUUUGAAAACUUUGCUUUGGUAGGCCUUCUAUAUGGGGCCUGCCAGAGAUUAAACUCAACCAAAUUUUAUUUAAUGUCAACCGAUUAUUUAAUAGUCAAAACUUUCAACAACGGAUCUCUUGGUUCUCGCAUCGAUGAAGAACGCAGCGAAAUGCGAUAAGUAAUAUGAAUUGCAGAUAUUCGUGAAUCAUCGAAUCUUUGAACGCACAUUGCGCCCUUUGGUAUUCCAAAGGGCAUGCCUGUUUGAGCGUCAUUUCUCCCUCAAACCCUCGGGUUUGGUGUUGAGCGAUACGCUGGGUUUGCUUGAAAGAAAGGCGGAGUAUAAACUAAUGGAUAGGUUUUUUCCACUCAUUGGUACAAACUCCAAAACUUCUUCCAAAUCGACCUCAAAUCAGGUAGGACUACCCGCUGAACUUAAGCAUAUCAAUAAGCGGAGGAAAAG